rnacentral:rRNA from 1 species
UACGAAGGGGGGCUAGCGUUGCUCGGAAUCACUGGGCGUAAAGCGCACGUAGGCGGAUUGUUAAGUCAGGGGUGAAAUCCUGGAGCUCAACUCCAGAACUGCCUUUGAUACUGGCGAUCUCGAGUCCGGGAGAGGUGAGUGGAACUGCGAGUGUAGAGGUGAAAUUCGUAGAUAUUCGCAAGAACACCAGUGGCGAAGGCGGCUCACUGGCCCGGUACUGACGCUGAGGUGCGAAAGCGUGGGGAGCAACAGG